UACGUAGGGUGCAAGCGUUGUCCGGAAUUAUUGGGCGUAAAGAGCUCGUAGGCGGUUUGUCGCGUCUGCUGUGAAAACUCGGGGCUUAACCCCGGGCCUGCAGUGGGUACGGGCAGACUAGAGUGCGGUAGGGGAGACUGGAAUUCCUGGUGUAGCGGUGAAAUGCGCAGAUAUCAGGAGGAACACCAAUAGCGAAGGCAGCUCGCUGGGACGGUAUUGACGCUGAGGCGCGAAAGCGUGGGGAGCAAACAGG
rnacentral:rRNA from 1 species